CAGAGCUCUGCAGUCAAAAACCAGGGACUAGAAGCUCUCCCAGAAAUAUUAAACAUAGAAUACAAAAGUGACCUUGAAUAAGAGAGAGUGUCUCUUGUUGGAAAGAUUGCGCUGGGCUCCCUGGCCCCUGACCCCGAGCCCCGCAAAGAAGGGAUCAGCAAGGAACUGGAUGUGACGGAGGACAUCUUGCAUGUUCGAUGGAGAGCAGAUGAAGCCCGGAUUCUGCGUGUGUCCAUCAGCUCCUUCCUGGAGCAUCUCUCCUUGGUGGUGGAAACGAUGGACCUGUUUGGGCCUCCUGUGGCUUGAUAGAUGGUUGCAACAGGAAGCUUCCCCAUAGUCUUGGCUGGACUCUGGACUUGCCCAUGGGCUACUGAUGUCAGAGGAGGCCCUGAACAUGCCAUCCUUAGAGCCAAGAUGUUGCUUUGUGUUCUGGAGCCAGCGGGGAACUCUCUACUCCCGAUACUCUUGGACAUUGAUAGAUUUUGGGUGCUGAGAAGCAGGCAAGCCUGGGACUGCCUUGAUAUAAGACAAAGUACAUAGAAUCUGGAGCUCUAAUAAAUUGUCCAGUGUACUUUA